rnacentral:lncRNA from 1 species
ACACUUUUAGCCACAUCGGACUACUUCUGCAUAAAGCCAGAAGCAAGAAAAAGAGUCACUCUUAUGCCGUUGCUGAUCAUAUACUGGAGUGAUCGUUCUUGGAGGAAAAGUGACAUUUGGGAAAUGACUGGAUUCUGGUUCUGAGGUAUUGCUUGCAUUUUAUAAUCCAGGAAACCAAAUGGUCCUUCCCUCAGAAUGGGCAUCAUUGAAUUAAGAAAAGGAAUGUAAUUUGGACACAAAUCUCUCUUGCCAUACAUUCUUGAAGUUGUGCUAUGAAAAUGCAUCCACUCUGAGUAUUCUCACAAUUCUGGGAUAUUUGUCAGAAGAAAAUGUUUCUGACAUUUAAAUCUACUUAGCUUGUUUCAUGGGUCAGUGAAAAAAGCAUAGGAAUCUUGAAAGAAUAACAAUGUAUUAUUAUAAAUAUAAUUAGGUGAUAAAAGUAAUAUAUGAUGCUUUUCAGUUGUCUCAUAUAAUGGAGCAAAUCAGUCUACAUCAUUUUGUGUGUUUCACAACCUCUGAGCUGGCCAAUAAGCAGAAAAUAAUACUCAAUAUAAGUUUCAGCCUGUAAGAGACAGGGACACAUCCUCAUUCUUUAUCCUUAAAUCCAAUAAAAAUGUAUGCUUCUCUGUUAUAAUUUAGUUGCAUACUUUCUUAUACUUGCAUUUAUGUUGAUGACAUCCAGAUUAUGUAACCUGAGGAACAGUGAGUAAAGAGUAGUUGAGAAGACUCAGUAAGAUCCAUGCAUGUUAAAAGAUAAGAGUAAAGUGUUACAAAAAUCUGAGGAACUAUAUAACUGCAGUUUUUAGAGUAUCAGAAGUCUUGAGCAUGCCAGUAUACUCUUCCUAAAAUUAAAAGAAAAAAAAAAAGCAAGUACUAUUUUUUUUGUCUAUCUGAGCACAAUAGCCAGUGACCCCAUUGAAUUUUGGAGGAUAAAUAUACCACCUCAUAUGCAUGGACCUAGCUCAUAAGAUUUCUAGAUUUUUGGGAAAAUGGCCAAGAGGAAAGUGAAUUUCUCCAGGCAUUUCAGACCAUGAUGCAAGCAGCUCUGACCUUGAGUAAAUACAAUGUUGUUUGAAGUAUCUGUGGCAGAUCAGGUUGCCUUAUGAAGACUGAAACAAUUAUAACAGGAAAACUAUAUAAUAUGUUUCUAGAAUUUUAUAGCAAAAACUUUUUUUUCUAUAAACUUUUUAUUCUUAUUUUGAGAAACAGUUGCUAUACUGUUGUUGAGAUAAACUGAACACUAGAUCUUACAACAUCAGAAUCUAUACAAAAUGACCUCCCUAUCAUGAUUUAAGGGUUCUCUGAUACAGCAAACCAUAAAGUUGAGUAUGUGCAGCAGUGCUCCAUCUCCAUUGAAAACACAUACAAAGAAAGGCAUUUGUUUCAAUUCCUAAAAACACAAGUAAUGUACAUGAGCACGUGAUUGGUUUAUCUAAUCCUCUUAUAUCAGUAGUACUUUCACAUUUUCCUCAUGUACAUACUCAUGAAUCUGUGCAAAUAUCCAGUUUCCUAAGGAAGGAAAAAGUCCUGGUUUAUAGACAGUUUCAAGUGAUAUAUUGGCACUAGCGAGGAGCAAUAAGCCUCUUUUUUGUAAUUCCCUCCAGUGAGUAGAAUUUUCAGACUUUAAACUAAGGAUGAUAUUACUGAAAAUUUUUUUAAAAAAUGGAAAGCUGGAAAAUAAAUGCCUUAAAUGAAGAUUUAAACUUGAUUUUCAUUAAUAUUUGUAGAUGUAUUAUUAUAAUUAUGGUGAAUAAUAUUGUUCAAAGUUGAUUUAUGAAGUUUAUGUAUUAAGAGAAAAAUUAGCAAGUCACAUAAAAGGAUAAAUAAAUAAAAAUGAAAAAAUCAUUAAUCCUGAAUAAAAUGUACAGGAAAAGAAAUAUAGCUAUACGUGAAUGAGACAACUCACAAUUAUUCAGUGAUAUUAUCAUCAAUUUGACUUAUAGAUUCUCAAUGCAGUGGACUACUUUAUAGCAUUUGACAGUUUAGUUUAAUUUUUAAAUAAAAAUUAGAAAAAAACCCAAAAUCUAACCCAUACUGAAAAUAAGAAUAUAUCUAAAUGCUAUACCUUGCAGUUGUACAUAUUGUAAGGCACACGUGAUACUCUGAUACAAGCAAAUGUAUUUAUGUAUAAUAAAUCAAGGUAAUUGGGAUAUCCAUAGCCUCAAGCAUGUAUCUUUUUUGAGUGUUAGAAAUGUUCCAAUUCUGCUCUUCUGGUUAUUUUGAAAUAUACAAUAAAAUAUUAACUGUAUUUGCCCUAUUGUGUCACAAAACACUGGAUCUUACUCCUUUUAACUACAUUUUUCUACCUGUUAAUCAUCCCUUCUGUAUCUCUCCCUCACCACGACCCUUCCCAGCCUCUGAUAACUGUCAUUCUACUCUCUAUAUCUAGGUGUUCAAUUUUUUGUUAGCUCCCACAUAUACAUAAGAACAUGCAAUUUUUUUUUUCUGUUUGUGGCUUAUUUCACUUAACAUAAUGCCCUCCAAUUCUAACUAUGUUGUUGCAAAUGAAGUGAUCUCAUUUGUUUUUUAUUGCUGAAUAUGGUUUUAUAUUUUUUAUCUCAUUCAUUUUUAUGUUUCCAUUGUGUAUAUAUGCCAAAUUUUCUGUGUCAAGUCAUCUAUUGAUAGACACUUAUGUUGAUUCCAUACCUUGGCUAUUAUGAAUAAUGCUGCAAUAAACAUCAGAGUAUAGAUAUUUAAUAUGUUCAUUUCAUUUUUUAAAAAAUAUAUAGCUAUCAGUGACAUUGCUGGGUUAUAUAGUAGUUCUACUUUUUGUUUGAAGGGAAACUUUAUACUGUGCUUCACGUGGCUGUACCUAUUCACACUCCCAUUAAUAUUGUAAGAGGGAUGCCCUUUCUCCACAUUCUUGCCAGCAUCUAAUAUUGCCUGUCUUUUUGAUAAAAGCCAUUUAACUUGGGUGAGAGAUGAUCUCAUUGUAGCUUCAAUUUUUAUGUCUCUGAUGAUUUGUGAUGUUGAGCAUUUUUUAUAUGUCUGUUGGUCAUUUGUAUGUCUUCUUUUGAGAAAUUUGUAUUCAUACAUUUUGCCUAUUUUAAAUUGAAUCAUUAUGGUUUUUUCCUUAUUAAAGUGUUUGAAUUCUGUAUAUACUCUGGUUAUUAAUCUCUUGUCAGAUGUGUAGUUUGAAAACCAACCUUAAUGUCCUCAAUCUCAUUACCAUUUUACUUUCUAGCUUUAUGAAUUGUACUACUUGAAGUAGCUCAUAUAUGCAGAAUCAUACAAUAUUGCCUUUUUGUCACUGACAUUUCACUUAGCAUAACGUUCUUGUUUUAUCAGUGUGAUAUCAUAUGUCAGGAAUUUUUAUUUUUUAAUAUUUAUUGGUACAUAGGUGUAUAUAUUUAUAGGGCAUAGGGAAUAUUUUGAUACAGGCAUACAAUGUGCGAUAAUAACAUCAGAAUAAAUGAGAUACCUAUCACCUCAAGCAUUUAUCCUUUGUAUUACAAACAAUGCAUUACAUGUAUACAUCACAUUUUGCUUCUCCAUCAAUCUACUGAUGAAUAUUUAGUUUCUUCGACAUUUUAGUUUAUGUUAAUAAGGUAGAAAUGAACAUGUGUAUAAAAAUAUCUCUUAGAGACUCUCCUUUUAUUUAUUAUUUAUUUAUUUAUUUAUUUUUGAGACAGAAUCUUGCUCUGUGGCCCAGGCUGGAGUACAGUGGCGCAGUCUCGGCUCACUGCAACUUCUGCCUCCCGGGUUCAAGAGAUUCUCCUGCUUCAACCUCCCAAGUAGCUGGGAUUACAGGUGCCCGCCAACAUGUCCUGCUAAUCUUUGUAUGUUUAGUAGAGACGGGUUUCACCAUGUUGACCAGGCUGGUCUCGAACUCCUGACCUAAAGUGAUCCAACCAUCUCAGCCUCCCAAAGUUCUGGGGUUACAGGCAUGAGCCACUGCACCUGGUCUUAAAUCUUUUAUCUAUGUAUACUCAGAAAUGGAAUUGUUGGAUAAUAUAGUAAUUCUAUUUUCUAAUUUUUGAGGAACCACAAUAUUGUUUUCCAAAGUAGCUACACCAUUUUAGACUUCUACCAAUAAUGCACAGGGUUCCCGUUUCUCCACACCCUCACCACCAUUUGCUAUUUUCUGUGUAUGUGUGUUUGUGUGUGUUUCACAGUAACCAUAAUGGGUUUGAAGUGAUAUCAAAUUGUGUUUUUGAUUUGCAUUUUCCUAAGAAGUGAUGUUUAUGUACUUAUUGGUCAUUUGUAUAUAUUCUUUGAAGAAACAUUUUAGGAGUUUUACAUAAGUUCUGAAUAUUAAUUCCUUAUCAGAUAAAUGAUUUACAAAUAUUUUCUCCCAUUUUGUGAAAUGCUUUUUUACUCUGUUAAUAGUGUCUUUGAUAAAAACAAUUGUUUAAUUAUUUUGAAGUCCAAUUUAUGUAUUUUUCUUCUUUUGUUGUCUAUACUUUUGAUGUUAC